rnacentral:sRNA from 1 species
UGGAACACCAGCGUUGAUGGUCAUGGU